rnacentral:rRNA from 1 species
GUGGGGAAUCUUGCGCAAUGGGCGAAAGCCUGACGCAGCCAUGCCGCGUGAAUGAUGAAGGUCUUAGGAUUGUAAAAUUCUUUCACCGGGGACGAUAAUGACGGUACCCGGAGAAGAAGCUCCGGCUAACUUCGUGCCAGCAGCCGCGGUAAUACGAAGGGGGCUAGCGUUGCUCGGAAUUACUGGGCGUAAAGGGCGCGUAGGCGGACAGCUUAGUCAGAGGUGAAAGCCCAGGGCUCAACCUUGGAAUUGCCUUUGAUACUGGCUGUCUUGAGUUUGGGAGAGGUGAGUGGAACUCCGAGUGUAGAGGUGAAAUUCGUAGAUAUUCGGAAGAACACCAGUGGCGAAGGCGACAUACUGGCUCAUUACUGACGCUGAGGCGCGAAAGCGUGGGGAGCAAACAGGAUUAGAUACCCUGGUAGUCC